rnacentral:lncRNA from 1 species
GGGGAGGAGGUGGCCAAGCUGGAGGCUCCUCUGCCUGGGAGCCUUGUGGCCCCAGGGUGUUGGGUGGUCACUGCAGUCCCUGAGCAGGUGCUGUGGCCCACAGCAAGCUUAGCCUGGCCCCUUAGCCCACAGCCCAUGAGGUCAGGGCCGGGUUCAGGGGUUCUCCUGGUGUGGGGAUGGGUCGACAGUAUGUGAACUUGCCAGGAUCGCACCAUGGACGGCUAUGUUGGGGUUUCAGUGGGCCCUGCUUUGAACAGUGCAGAAUGGGGUAGGUCCUGCCCUUCAGAGCCAAGGGCAUCAGCUCCCCACCCCUCUGCCAAGCUAGAACGUUCCCAGGCCCAAUGCCUUGGGGAGGGGCUGGCAGAGUGGGACGAGGACAUUACCAGGCAGGUAUGGUAGGUCACGUGCAGGCCUUCCCAGGCUGGCAGGGACACCGGAUGCAGGAGUGGCCUCACCCAGAGAGGAUGGCAUCCUGGGGACACAAGAGGCUGCAGGGGCCAUCUGGCCCCAGGUACCCGCCAAGAUUUUGGCAUUGGCAGCCUUGAAGCAGAUAGGGCCUGGGGAGAGGCCAGUGGGGCAUAGAGUAGCCCAUCUGCUCCUGCCUCGCCCGACAGGAGAUGCGAAUUCCAAGAUGCCCCUGACCAAUCUCUGCAGCCCAGGCCAGGGUUCGGGCCCCUCCUCUCAGGCAAGUGUGUUGGGGUGACACUGACGGGACUGGCAGGCUGCUCUGGGCCACAGGGCUCCUGUGUAGACACUGAGGUCUGUGUCUUGGGGGUGCUGCAGGGACCCUGUGCUCUGCACAGCCCCAAAUUGGAGCCAGUGCAGCUCAUGAUCCCCAGCUCCACGGUGCAGCCCCCACUGGGUGCGGCCCCUUUAAGUACAGCCCCUUCAGCUGCCAUCAGGGGCAGCACUGAGCAGCCAGGCCAGGAUCCGCGCUGCUGCCUGGAAGCUUCUGCCCGUGCCGGGGACGCAGCAGUGCCGGGGACACAGAGGAGCCGACCUGGGGGUGGCACAGCCCACCGGGGCACAGCCAGAGCAGCACCCAGGUGCUUCUGACCCCGGCAUGGAGGAAGCGCCCGCGUUCUCUGCUCAGGCCCGCAGCCAGGGCUGCUCCGCCCGCUGCGCCCCAGGUAAGCCGGGCCAGCGUGGGGGAGUAGCGGGGCCUGGGCUGCGGAGGGGGCCGCCCUGACCCGCGUCUCCCCCCAGGGCAAAAGCCCCGCAAGGCAGUGUGAGCUGGAGCCGCCAGCCUGGGGACCUCUUUUAAGAUGACCCGUACGGACCCUCCGGACCUGCUGGUGUCGACCGUGUACCAGGACAUCAAGGUGGCGACCCCGGGACCCGCGUCCAAGCGCUCGCCAUGUGAGCAAUCCGUGGCCCGGCCUGCUGAGCCCGCGCCUUUCAACAAGCGCCACUGCCGCAGC